GCAGGAAUGGCUUAGAGGAUGGAGAGAAAGCUUGCAAAAAUGGAAGGAGAACAAGAAAUAAAGGAGAUAACCAGCGUGGAUUGACGCGCACGCAUGGCUCAUGGGUGCGCGUAAUUUGGAGAUUUUCACAGCGACGCAUGUGCAUACCUGACGUGUACGCGUAGAUUGGAUUUCUGCA